CAUAGAUAUUGUAUAGUCUUAAUUUUUCCAGGAACUUAAAAUCUACAUGGAAGAAAAUCUUCUCUUCGUACAAAGUUUUACCAUGAACUGGACAAAUGCUUUGACCAAAUCCUAAGCCACCUAUAAGUGAAAUCAUAUGUAUCAUAUGUAUUUCUCCGUCAGACUUAAGAAAUCAGAUUUUUAUUGAAUUGAAACCCACGGCCAAACACAAGUUCCAUAAACUCAAAAUAGAGCCACCGCCUAGAGAGUUCCCAAGACCACCCCUAGGAAGACUCCGGACUCGCCUGGCGCACCAGGUCUGCACCUGUUGCUAGGGCGGCUCGUCCUGAAGGAGGACUGAGGGCUGACUCAGCAGCGGCACAGAGCGGGGGCGAGACAGAGUAGACCCCCUAUUGAAGGGAAGGCCAGCCCCACACCAGGAGCUGCCCCUGCAGGGGUGGGACUGAGGCUCCCGGUGCAGGUUCGCCGGCCCUGGGGCAGAGAGAAAGCUGUGGUUUGAAGGAGCAACUAGAAGCUAAAGGAAUCAGCCUGGAAGGAACGCUGCCGGAGGGAGCUGCUGGAAGUCUUCCGGGCCUGAGGGGCUGCAGUGGGCAAUGCUCACCCACAGCUGCACCUGGUUAGCGCUGCUCACACACACCUGCACCUGGUUAGAGCAGACUCAACAGGUCCGGGCGUCCUGGUCCUGCAGCCUCAGCGAGCCUGGGCCCCUCGCACACACCCUCCUAGUGAGCCCCCCGGGCGGCCCCGGGGCAGCACACAGAGGGACACGCCAGGGCAGCGCUCGCUACAGCUCCGGUCCUCUCACCAAGGUGACACAGGUGCACAGCACCCCGGAACGUUCCAGGCCCGCACCACCUCGGCUCCAGACCCCCUGCCCCACUCCCCCGACCCCGGGGGAGGGCUUUCCCUGCACAGAAUGCUCCAGAAUCUCUUGGCUCCUGCCUACCUUAGCUCCAGAGGAACCGUGCCCUCUCCUUAUUCAUUGAGACGUGUUCUGGACAGAACUGGAGAGAGAAUUUUCAAGAGCAAGAGAGCCUGAUUUGGGAGUGAAUCAUGAAGGAACAUUUGAUCAGACUUCCAGCUUAGGGUGUCAGACUUUUUCAAGCAACUCUGGGCAUGAGGAGAAAGGGAUGUAAGAGUCCCCUGACGGCAGCGCACCGGCCGACACUGAGGUGACCAGCGACAUAUGUGCAAGACCAAUGUACGGCCAAGUGUAAGGUUACUCAGACCGUAGACUGCACAAGAAGACUUUCUCACAAUCCUUUUUCUUUUUCAUUUUAUACCUUGCCUGGGGCAAGGGUCUUAGCUUCUCUGAGCCCCACUUUUUGAAUAAUGAAACCUCCCUCACAAGGCUGUCGUGAGUAAUGACUGGUCUGAUUGCAGAUCCAAAGGGCAAGUCCUAAAAACAACUUCUGAAUAAAGAAGGCAAGUGGCUUCUCAGCAAGGCAAUGGGAAACACGCGUAUCUUCCUCGACUGCCUUGGAGCUGCCCAGACUGGUGGCCUUGACCUGAGCAUUGGCCACUUUACUCUUGCAAACCAUCAAAGAUGGAGAUAAGAUCUUCAGCAGAAAACCCAUCUGUGCAAGUGAACAGAAGAAUGAGAUCAUUCCCACUCUACAGUUAAAGCUCAGUGAAGAAAUGACCAUCACCCACCUCACAAACAUCAAGUCAGAAACCUAAGAGAAAUCUGGAGUCUUUUAUGACACUCCUCAACGAAGUGAGGACCAAAUCCUGCUCCUUCGAUUCUGUAAAAUUUUCUGAAUCCUACCACCGUUUAUUCCCU